AUGCCGGUAAAUCUCAACAAGUAGUCCCGGCCCUUGAGCCUGCAGGAGGUGGGAGAGCGGCCACAGCACCCUCUGAAGGUCACCUAUGGCGGUGUGGUGGUGGAUGAGCUGGGCAAGGUGCUGGUGCCCACCCACGUUAAGAACAGACCCACCAACAUUGCCUGGGAUGGGUUUGAUCCAGGAAAACUGUAUACCUUGGUCCUGACAGACCCUGAUGCGCCCAGCAGGAAGGACCCCAAAUACAGGGAGUGGCACCACUUUCUGGUGGUCAACAUGAAGGGCAACGACAUCAGCAGUGGUGCCGUCCUCUUGGGUUAUGUGGGCUCUGGGUCUCCUAAGGGCACAGGCCUCCACCUCUGCGUCUGGCUGGUUUAGAGCAGGAUUGGCCGCUUAAGUGACAUGAGCCCAUUCUCAGCAACCACUCAGGAGACCACUGUGGCAAGUUUAAGGUGGCAUCCUUCUGCAAAAAGUACCAGCUGGGGACGCCAGUGCCAGCUUGCGUUACCAGGCCAAGUGGGAUGACUCCGUGCCCAUGCUGUAUGAGUAGAUGUCUGGGAAGUAG